rnacentral:rRNA from 1 species
GAGGGCGGGGGAUAACCACUGGAAACGGUGGCUAAUACCGCAUAAUGUCGCAAGACCAAAGUGGGGGACCUGAAAGGGCCUCACGCCGUCGGAUGAACCCAGAUGGGAUUAGCUGGUAGGUAGGGUAAUGGCCUACCUAGGCGACGAUCCCUAGCUGGUCUGAGAGGAUGACCAGCCACACUGGGACUGAGACACGGCCCAGACUCCUACGGGAGGCAGCAGUGGGGAAUAUUGCACAAUGGGCGCAAGCCUGAUGCAGCCAUGCCGCGUGUAUGAAAAAGGCCUUCGGGUUGUAAAGUACUUUCAGCGGGGAAGGAAGGGUUGAGCCUGAACAGGGCUGGGCCUUGACCUUACCC